rnacentral:lncRNA from 1 species
AAAUUCAAGUAGGAAAUGGUGCAAGUCUGUCAAUUCAUCAUGUUGGUAAUUCUACUUUUUCUUCACCUUUCACUUCUAAAUUGCUUUCUUUAAACCAAUUACUUCAUGUUCCAUCAAUAACUAAGAAUCUCAUUAGUGUCUCCAAAUUUGCUCGAGAUAAUCACGUCUUUUUUGAAUUCUUUCUUGAUUUCUGCUUUGUGAAAGAUCGGGAUUCCAAGGUUGUGCUACUAGAAGGGAGACUUAAGAAUGGGUUAUAUGAUUUUAACUCAAAUCUACUCCGUUCCAGAUUUGUUCCACAAAUUCAAGUCUAAGGUACUGCUAUCCUCUCCACUUUAGUUACUGAUAAAUGUACUAAUCAUCAGUCUGUAGUUCAUCAUUCUACCUUAGCCUCUGUAUCAAAAUAUACUCUUUGGCACAAUAGACUUGGCCAUUCCUCUUGUCAAGUUGUUAAUUCUGUUCUACAUCAUUGUAAUAUUCCACAUAUCAAUAAAACUAAUUUUGAUUUCUGUCAAGCUUGUUGUCUUGGAA